rnacentral:rRNA from 1 species
UACGUAGGGGGCUAGCGUUGUCCGGAAUCAUUGGGCGUAAAGAGCUCGUAGGCGGUUCGGCAAGUCAGCUGUGAAAUCUCCACGCUCAACGUGGAGGGGUCAGCUGAUACUGCUGUGACUCGAGUCCGGUAGGGGAGUGUGGAAUUCCCGGUGUAGCGGUGAAAUGCGCAGAUAUCGGGAGGAACACCAGUAGCGAAGGCGGCACUCUGGGCCGGUACUGACGCUGGAGACGCGAAAGCGUGGGGAGCAAACAGG